GCUUAAUUUGACUCAACACGGGAAACCUCACCAGGCCCGGACACCGGAAAGAUUGACAGAUUGAGAGCUCUUUCUUGAUUCGGUGGGUGGUGGUGCAUGGCCGUUCUUAGUUGGUGGAGCGAUCUGUCUGGUUAAUUCCGAUAACGAACGAGACUCUGUCCUGCUAACUAGGCGGGUAAACCCGGGUCGGCGUGUGCGCGGCGCUGGCGGUUUCGGCCGUCAGUGUAUCAAGUUUCAUAAUAGGUCAAUUCACUCUAAUUGUUAAGCUAACGGCAUAAAACGUGAACUGCUGAGCGUAAAUUUGCUAUGUUACGCGUCUAUGUACAACAUAGCA
rnacentral:rRNA from 14 species